rnacentral:rRNA from 1 species
GACGAACCGUGCGAACGUUAUUCGGAAUCACUGGGCUUAAAGGGCGCGUAGGCGGGUUCUCAAGUCAGGGGUGAAAUCCCGCGGCUCAACCGUGGAAGUGCCUUUGAUACUGGGGACCUCGAGGGAGGUAGGGGCGUGCGGAACUUCCGGUGGAGCGGUGAAAUGCGUAGAUAUCGGAAGGAACACCGGUGGCGAAAGCGGCGCGCUGGGACCUCUUCUGACGCUGAGGCGCGAAAGCCAGGGGGAGCAAA